AAUUGAAGACUCCUGUUGGCCUUGGUUGGUGGCAGCAGCCUUUUGUUGAUAACAUUGUUAUUCUGUCAGAUAAAGGAACUGAUACUGGAGAAAGGGUUGUUUCCUCAAAAAUGAUCCCAGUUACAAGUGAGAUCAUAUGGUGUUUGUCUUUCACCAACUGGCUCAUUUCACUUAGCAUAAUGAUCUCCAGUUGCAUUCAUGCUGUUGCAAAAGUGAACAAGUCUCUUGAGUCCCAUGAAGGGUUUUAUGGGCCUUUGAGGAAUAAGCACACCAGAUCCCACCCAGCUUCAAGAAAAUGUUUGAAAUAACAAAUAGAGGAGAAACAUGUUCUGCUGAGUUUUGGAAUUAAGAUGAUGCUGGCUUCAUAAAAAGAAUUUGGGAGUUUUCCAUCCUUCUGGAUUUUUUUUAAAGAAGUCGCCUAAGGAUCCUAAUGACAGUCAACUUCCAGGCAGAACUGGGACAGGAAAUCUGUGCUCCUCCUUUCCCACAGAUGCACAGCUGUUCCUGCUCAGCGGGUGGAGAGCCAGGCCUGCCACUUACAGAGAGGAGACAACUUAGGUGCCGCUGACUUCUGCCAGUGGGAGGGUGAGAUGUCUACAUCCCAUUGAAGGACAUGCCCAGAUCCUUUUUGGCCACGUGGUGAGCAGAAAUCUGUCACUGAAGUCUGCUGCCUUGGCAGUCUACAGGCUGCAAGUUCAUGGAGAGACCAAGAGCCAGGAAAUGAGUUAGAAAGCUGUGUGACUACAGGCAGACUUGAAGAGUCUGGCACUGUGAAGAACUCAGAGGCAGAACCAUCCAGCCGUAAGAUGAGGUCUCAUUACCCCUACUCAGGGUAGAAGAGAGGCCAGCAAGAUCCAAGAAGGGCAUGAAGAAUAUCAUGGGGACUCCAGGGAUCCUUGACCACAUUCAAGGGCUUGUUUUCUCUUGAUGUGAGUGCUUAGAAGUUUCCCUCCAAGUGGCUCCUGCAAAUGGGAACAUUCAUUCCCUUCAGAUUCUUAACUCUGAGGAAGGGUAUCAGCAUUGGCAUUGGGGUAACUGGCUGGGCCAAUGGUGUUAGUUCACAGACCCCUAGAGCUGUGGAGAUAAACAGAGCCUGUAAGAAAGUUCUUCUUUAUAGUGAAACAAAAUUUUUCCUCCCUACAAUUACUACCCAUUAAUCUGAAGUUCCAGAAAACUGGGCUUCUCUUUGUGUGUCAGUCUUCUGAAUAUUUGAAGUUAUUAAAGAGUCACAAACACUUAAAUUAUCCAGGCAUAUUAUUCUAUGUUUGUUUCUCCAAUAACUGUUUUUAAACCCCUCUUUAUCCUCUUGUUUUCACUAGAUGUUUAUAACUUGUUAUUCAAAAUUUAGUCCAUGGGCCAAGAGCAUUAACAUCCCCUGGGAGUUUGCUAGAAAUGCAGAAUCUCAGGGGUCAUCCUUUUCAUUCUGUAUCAGAAUCUGCAUUUUAACAGGUUCCCUAGGUUAUGUAUAUACACAUUAAAGUUUAAGAAGGACUGGUUUAUAGCAUUUGAUAGCAACAUACACACAUUUAUGUGUAACCUCUAUGCCAAACAAUAGCAUGAUUAAUUAAAUUGUGACAUAUUAAGGCUAUGGGAUAUCAUGCAUUAUGCAUAGCAACUACAUAGAAACCUGAGGAAGAGCUAAUGCUGACAUUUAAAGAGAGUACUGAUUACACCCCAGACUGUGUCCAAAGCAUGUUAGUAAUUACCUCCUUGAGUCAUCACAAUAACCCCCAAAGACAGGUAACACUGCUAUUCCCAUUUUAAAAGUGAUGAAAGGAGUCCAGUGAGGGUGAGUGACUUGACUAUGAUCCAUUGCUGGAGCCCAGGCAGGUGAAUUUCAGAGCCCAUGUGCCUGACCACUGCUAACAUCCAAUGACAUAGCCAGUGUUACAGGAUUAUGUGUAAGCUAUGGCUACAACUGUACACAUAUAAAUUGAGUUUCCCUAAUGAUAGCACAUUGUGCUAUUGUAAUAAAAACAAUUAAAAAACAGCAUGCCCCAAACUGAGCACAGCUUUAUUCAGCCUCAGCAGUAUUUCUACCAUCUCUUACAUUUUCUUCUCAUUUAAACAAUGUUUAUAAUACAAUGAAUAAUAUAUAGUUAUAAUAAAAAAUUUUUCAUACACAAAAAGGAUAUAAAAUGAAAAGUAAAGUACUCCCUUCCCAAAAGCCCUCCUCCACUUUGAGAUAACCACUGUUAGCAGUUUCUUAUAUAUCUUUCAAAAAAUGUGUUCUGCAUUUAAAAUAACGAACACACACACAUAUAUAAUGCACACACAAUCCACUCUUAGCUCAGAUACAUCUGUUAAAGCAGCUUUGUGAUUGGCUCCUGUUUUAUUUAUGAUAAAUUGGAAUACCCAGAUCUUUCUCACAUGAAGUGUUAAGUUUUCAUUUCCAUCUUGUACAGAUUUUUUUUCUCACCUAAAUGUAGGAUAUUUUAUGUCUUCUUACAGAGUUUUAUGUUUUAUGUAGCUGGUUGUGUUCUAGAAUUCCAAUGAAUCAAAUCUUUUUCACUUCUAACUCUAGUACAGAAAAGCUUUCUCUUUCACAAGUCUAAUAGUUAUACCCUGCUCUUCCAAGCCCAAGGAAGUGACUGCAGGGCUGUGGGGAGCAGAGGUGGUUUACAAUGGUCACUAUUAACAGUGAAACAAAAAAUUACAGCAAAAUGUUAGUCAAAGCUAUCUCCAGAUGGUGGGAGUUUUAUUUUUCACUUUUUACUUUUCUGUAUUUCCCAAAUGUUUAACAAUGAGCAUGGGUUAAUUUUGUUAUUAAAAGAAGAAGAAAAAAUGAAAACUGGAAUUUUAUAGAUUAGAUAUUGUUUCUGCCUCUUCACUGUCUUCCUCAGGGAGAUGACACAUCCAUUCUCUUUGUCGGGUAGUGGCCCCUGUAAAGUAAGCAGUAAUUGCUAUAUGCCCAAUGUAUUGACAUUGGAUUUGACCACUUGGCUUGCUAUUGGACUCCUGAUCCCAUAUGACUGAUGCCCUUAUAAAAAGGGGACAGUUAGACAUGGAUACAGGGUGAAUGCCAAUGAACAUGAAGACAGAGAUUGGGGUAAUGCUUCUCACAACUAAGGAAUGCCAAACUUUGCUAGCAAACCACCAGAAGCUAGGAAAAAAGCAUGAAACAGAUUUUCCUUCACAGCCUCAGAAGGUAACAACUCUGCUUACAUUUUGAUCUCAGAAGUCCAGCCUCCAAAAAUGUAAGACAAUACAUUUUUGUUAUUUAAGCAACCCAGUUUGCUUGAGGUACUUUCUUAUGGAAGCACUAAGAAACUAAUAUAAAAGGCCACCUCAGAUUUUGCAUUCAAUUACAAUAUGUGGCUACCUUCUCCACACCAAGCAAUUCCCUGAAACCUGCUGGGUGUUCUGCAAUUCAACUUAACUCUGACACUAUCUACCUUGUGAUAGUGUCAGAUUCCACAGUUUAAGAUUGCAGAGGUUGUCACCUGGGCUUUUGACUGACAGGUUAUAGAUGGGAAAUUUCAACAACCCCCCUCUUUGGAUUCAAUUAACUUGCUAGAAUAGCUCACAAAACUCAGAGAAACAUUUUACUUACUAGAUUAUUAAUUUAUUAUCAAAGGAUAUAUCUCAGGAAGACCCAGAUGAAAGAGAUGAAUAGAGCGAGGUGUGAGGAAAGGGUGUGGAGCUCCCAUGCUCAUUCUGAGCAUGCCGCUCUCCCAGAACCUCCACAUGUUUACUUGCCCAGAACUCUCUGAACCCCAUCAUUUUGGAUUUUUAUGGAGGACAUGGCUGAUUAUAUAAUUGCCAUUGGUAAUUGAUUCAACCUCUAUGUACAGUGAACAUACUGUAAAUAUGACUUAUCACUGUUGAUGUUAACUUUGAUUAUCUGGCUGAGUCAAUCUGGUUUCUGUACUGUAAAGUUACUCUCUGCUCUGUUCCCCACUUUCCAUACUUUAUUCUUUGGAAGGAUGUCACUAUGUGCAGCCCAUGCCUAAGGCAUGGAGACUCAGAUGUAUGGUCCUUCCUGAAGCAAUAUCUUCAUGGAUUAUUGGGAAUUCCACAUGACAGAUUUGUCUGUUGUCUCUCAUUUGUGAUCUAUGUAGAUGUGUACAUUUACUUAUUUAUUCAAUGAUUUAUUUAUGUCAGCAACACAUUUUAUUUUAUUUUUAUUUAUUUUAUUUAUAUUUUUAAUUCUCACCCAAGGGUAUGUUUUUUUUCUGAGAGAGAGAGAGAAACAUCGAUGUAGGAAAGAAUCAUCCAUCAGUAGCCUCCCAUGCCUACCCUGACCAGGAAUUGAACCCACAACUUCUGGUGCAUGUGAGGAUGCUCCAACCAACUGAGUCACCCAACCAGAGUAGUACUGAAUUUUAUUUUACACUUUGGUUUGUACUUCAAUACUAUUUUAUUUAUUUUGUUGUUCAAAUUGUUCUGUUCUAGAAAUUGGGUGUUCUUUCAGAUGGUCCCUGUGUCCCUUUGACAUAACUCUCAUCACUGUGCAUGUGUUUUUAAGUACUUCCUUACUGCAAGAUACUCUAAGCUCAUUGGCAUAUCUCCUGUACCAGUCCUAGAAUCAACAUUUCUCCAAGUAGCCCUCCUACUUUGACUGGAUAUCAAAACCAAGGUAUGAAUUCUAGGUGUGCUCAUUUUUACUGGGGUGUUAUUGCUUCUCAGCCCUCUCAGCAUACAGAGCAAGGAAAUCUAUGUGGAUACUAACCAAUGUAUAUACACAUAUCUAUACAUAUGUUUAUAUAUAAUCAUCUUAGUCUACAUUAAGUUAAAUAUGAGUUCAUAUUGAUAUCUUCAAAUAUAAUACAGUACCACAUGGAUCUUUCUAGCUUCCUUACUUAUCUGUAAAAUUCUGUUCUAACAGUGAGAAACCUGCCUUUGAUCAUCUGCCAUGCAUUUACUCAAUUGUUAAAUCCCAGUAUACACAUAUAGUGUUUUCAGAAUUGUUAACCUGCACUGCCAAGGGAAAGAACUUUGUCAGCUAGGGUACACUGUUUAAGUACAAAUCCUUUUGCUUUUAGACUUACAGAGUCUACUUAUUUCCAAAAUACUCACAUCAACACCUUUCCCUCACCUUCUUCAGGGAGGGUAUUCCAUGCAUUUGUAAUACAAUUAGAUUCUUUUUCACAUCGUACUUUCCAUUCUAAGGCACACUUCCUGCCACCAUAUCCUAAAUGAUUUUUUACAACUUACAUUAUAUUAAGAUUUAUUCUCUGUGCUAUAAAGUUCUAUGGGUUUUGAUAAAUGUAUAGUGUCAUAUAGCCACCAUUACAAUAUCUUACUGAAUAGUUUCAUUACCCUAAACAUCCCCUGUGCUUCCCCUAUUCAACCCUCUCUCUCCCACCUCAACCACCAGCAUCUGACAUAUUUACCAUCUGGAUAGUCCUGCCCUUUCCAGAAUAUAAUCUAAGUGAAAUAACACAGUGUGUGAUGUUUUCAAACUGGCUUCUUUCACUUAGAAGUAUGCAUUGAAGAUUUACCCAUGUCUUUGUGUGGCUUAAUAGCUCAUCUGCUUCCCAUCACUGGGCAGCCUUCAUCAUGUGAACACACCACAAUUUGUUUAUCCAUUCACCUAUUGAAAGAUAGUUCAAUCACUCACAUAACUGCUAUAUAUAUUCAUAUGUAGGUUUUUGCAUAGACAUAAAUUUUCAAAUGACAUAGGUAAUGCCUAGGUGUGUGGUUGCUAAAUUACAUAUUAAGAACUUGUUUGGCUUUAUAAGAAACUGUCAAACUAUCUUCCAAAAUGGCUGUAUGAUUUUAAAUUCUCACCAGCAAUAAGUAAGAGUUACUGUGCCUCCACAUCCUUGUCAGAAAUUAACAUUGUCAAGAGUUUUUCAAUUUUAGUCAUUGCAAUAGGUAUGUAGUGGUAUCUCACUGCACUCCCUUAAUGACAAAAAAGUGGGGAAAGUGUUUUCAAUUGUAUAUUUACUAUUUAUGUAUUGUCUUUGAAAAGAUGUCUAUUCAGAUCUUUGGCCCAUUUUUGAAUUGGUUUGAGUGUCUUGUUAUUGCUGAGUUUGAAGUGUUCUUUGUGUAUUUUGGACAUUAGCCCUUUAACAAAUAUGUGUUUGUAAAUGUUUUCUCCCUGUUUGUGACUUGUCUUAUUCCUUCUCUUAACAGUGCCUUUAGCAGAGCAGUCAUUUUCAAUGUUAAUAAAAUUUAAUGUAUCAUUUUUUUCUUUUAUGGAUCAUACUUUACUUGUGGUAUCUAAAAAUUCAUCACAAAUCUCAAGAUCAUAUGAA